rnacentral:rRNA from 1 species
CUGGCCUCAAAUCAGGUAGGGCUACCCGCUGAACUUAAGCAUAUCAAUAAGCGGAGGAAAAGAAACUAACUAGGAUUCCCUUAGUAACGGCGAGUGAACCGGGAUGAGCUCAAAUUUGAAAUCUGGCGUCUUUCAGGCGUCCGAGUUGUAAUCUAUAGAGGCGUUUUCCGCGCCGGACCGCGUCCAAGUCUCUUGGAAUAGAGUAUCAAAGAGGGUGACAAUCCCGUACUUGACGCGACAACCGGUGCUCUGUGAUACGCUCUCAAUGAGUCGAGUUGUUUGGGAAUGCAGCUCUAAAUGGGUGGUAAAUUCCAUCUAAGGCUAAAUAUUGGCGAGAGACCGAUAGCGAACAAGUACCGUGAGGGAAAGAUGAAAAGCACUUUGGAAAGAGAGUUAAACAGCACGUGAAAUUGUUAAAAGGGAAACGAUUGAAGUCAGUCGUGUGGGAAGUAUUCAGCCGUCUCUGGCGGUGUAUUUGCUUCUCACGGGUCAACAUCAGUUUGAUCCGGUAGAAAAAGGCGGGAAGAAGGUGGCACCCUCGGGUGUGUUAUAGCUUCCUGUCAUAUGUGCCGGACCAGACUGAGGAACGCAGCUUGCAGCAAUGCCGGGGUUCGCCCACGUACAAGCUUAGGA